UAGGGAAUCUUCGGCAAUGGACGAAAGUCUGACCGAGCAACGCCGCGUGAGUGAAGAUGGUUUUCGGAUCGUAAAACUCUGUUGUUAGAGAAGAACAAGGACGUUAGUAACUGAACGUCCCCUGACGGUAUCUAACCAGAAAGCCACGGCUAACUACGUGCCAGCAGCCGCGGUAAUACGUAGGUGGCAAGCGUUGUCCGGAUUUAUUGGGCGUAAAGCGAGCGCAGGCGGUUUCUUAAGUCUGAUGUGAAAGCCCCCGGCUCAACCGGGGAGGGUCAUUGGAAACUGGGAGGCUUGAGUGCAGAAGAGGGGGGUGGAAUUCCAUGUGUAGCGGUGAAGUGCGUAGAUAUAUGGAGGAACACCAGUGGCGAAGGCGGCUCUCUGGUCUGUAACUGACGCUGAGGCUCGAAAGCGUGGGGAGCAAACAGG
rnacentral:rRNA from 1 species